rnacentral:tRNA from 1 species
CGAGGUGUGGCCCAGCGGCAAGGGCGCCUGCUUUGGGAGCAGGACGGCGUGGGUUCGAUUCCCACCACCUCGACCC